rnacentral:rRNA from 1 species
UGGGGAAUUUUGGACAAUGGGCGCAAGCCUGAUCCAGCAAUGCCGCGUGCAGGAUGAAGGCCUUCGGGUUGUAAACUGCUUUUGUACGGAACGAAACGGCGAGCUCUAAUACAGUUUGCUAAUGACGGUACCGUAAGAAUAAGCACCGGCUAACUACGUGCCAGCAGCCGCGGUAAUACGUAGGGUGCAAGCGUUAAUCGGAAUUACUGGGCGUAAAGCGUGCGCAGGCGGUUAUGUAAGACAGAUGUGAAAUCCCCGGGCUUAACCUGGGAACUGCAUUUGUGACUGCAUAGCUAGGGUACGGUAGAGGGGGAUGGAAUUCCGCGUGUAGCAGUGAAAUGCGUAGAUAUGCGGAGGAACACCGAUGGCGAAGGCAAUCCCCUGGACCUGUACUGACGCUCAUGCACGAAAGCGGGGGGAGCAAACAGGAUUAGAUACCCUGGUAGUCCACGCCCUAAACGAUGUCAACUGGUUGUUGGGUCUUCACUGACUCAGUAACGAAGCUAACGCGUGAAGUUGACCGCCUGGGGAGUACGGCCGCAAGGUUG